rnacentral:rRNA from 1 species
CUCAGGACGAACGCUGGCGGCGUGCUUAACACAUGCAAGUCGAGCGGAAAGGCCCUUCGGGGUACUCGAGCGGCGAACGGGUGAGUAACACGUGAGUAACCUGCCCCUGACUCUGGGAUAAGCCCGGGAAACUGGGUCUAAUACCGGAUAUGACAUCUCCCGGCAUCGGGUGGGUGUGGAAAGUUUUUCGGUUGGGGAUGGGCUCGCGGCCUAUCAGCUUGUUGGUGGGGUAGUGGCCUACCAAGGCGACGACGGGUAGCCGGCCUGAGAGGGCGACCGGCCACACUGGGACUGAGACACGGCCCAGACUCCUACGGGAGGCAGCAGUGGGGAAUAUUGCGCAAUGGGCGAAAGCCUGACGCAGCGACGCCGCGUGGGGGAUGACGGCCUUCGGGUUGUAAACCUCUUUCAGCAGGGACGAAGUUGACGUGUACCUGCAGAAGAAGCGCCGGCUAACUACGUGCCAGCAGCCGCGGUAAUACGUAGGGCGCAAGCGUUGUCCGGAAUUAUUGGGCGUAAAGAGCUCGUAGGUGGCUGGUCGCGUCUGCCGUGAAAGCCCGCAGCUUAACUGCGGGUCUGCGGUGGAUACGGGCCGGCUAGAGGUAGGUAGGGGCAAGUGGAAUUCCUGGUGUAGCGGUGAAAUGCGCAGAUAUCAGGAGGAACACCGGUGGCGAAGGCGGCUUGCUGGGCCUUACCUGAC